GCCCUCGUGGUGUAAUGGAUAACACAGAAGAUUCCGGUUCUUCCGCUGGGGGUUCGAUUCCCUCCGAGGGCGCCA
rnacentral:tRNA from 3 species